GUCAGUGGCAGACGGGUGAGUAACGCGUGGGAACAUACCUUUUGGUUCGGAACAACUCAGGGAAACUUGAGCUAAUACCGGAUAAGCCUUUCGAGGGAAAGAUUUAUCGCCAUUAGAGCGGCCCGCGUAGGAUUAGCUAGUUGGUGGGGUAAAGGCCCACCAAGGCUACGAUCCUUAGCUGGUCUGAGAGGAUGAUCAGCCACAUUGGGACUGAGACACGGCCCAGACUCCUACGGGAGGCAGCAGUGGGGAAUUUUGGACAAUGGGCGAAAGCCUGAUCCAGCAAUGCCGCGUGCAGGAAGAAGGCCUUCGGGUUGUAAACUGCUUUUGUACGGAACGAAAAGGUCUGCCCUAAUACGGCGGGCCCAUGACGGUACCGUAAGAAUAAGCACCGGCUAACUACGUGCCAGCAGCCGCGGUAAUACGUAGGGUGCGAGCGUUAAUCGGAAUUACUGGGCGUAAAGCGUGCGCAGGCGG
rnacentral:rRNA from 1 species